CCUACGGGGGGCAGCAGUGGGGAAUUUUCCGCAAUGGGCGCAAGCCUGACGGAGCAAUACCGCGUGAGGGAGGAAGGCUUUUGGGUCGUAAACCUCUUUUAUUGGGGAAGAAGUUCUGACGGUACCCAAUGAAUCAGCAUCGGCUAACUCCGUGCCAGCAGCCGCGGUAAUACGGAGGAUGCAAGCGUUAUCCGGAAUUAUUGGGCGUAAAGCGUCCGCAGGUGGUUUAACAAGUCUGCUGUCAAAGCGUGCGGCUUAACCGCAUAUCGGCAGUGGAAAC
rnacentral:rRNA from 1 species